UAUUCUUUGGUUUUAGGAAGGGAGGCUGUUUGAAGGAAAGCACCAUGGCCUGGACACUGGUUUUCCUUUCCCUUCUUACUUAUUUCUCAUGUGUCACUUCACAGCCCACCUUGACUCAGGCUGUCUCCUAUUCUGCAUCUCCAGGAUUGACCAUUAAACUCUCCUGUGCCAUCAGUAGCAACCCAACUACUAUUGGCUGGUUUCAACAGAGAUCUGGAGAAGCUCCUCGGUUUGUGCACUAUGAUGGCAGCAGCAGCAGAGGACCAGGGAUCCCAGACCGAUUCACAGGAACCCGAUCAGGCAACAAUGGCUACUUAACCAUCACUAACCUUCAGGCUGAAGACGAGGCCGAUUAUUAUUGCUUUAUGUGGUAUAGCCACACGUCCCACAGUCAGACAAUCUAA